GUGAUCACACCUUAGCUGAGGCACCAUUUCUGUGAGGCUCCUCUGGAAACCAUUAUUUCCUGGCACGCUCAGGCUUGCAGACAAGAAAUCACCUUCUGGCUUUCCAUUUUGCCAGGACGGAUCGUGAGGCUGGCGAGGCUGCCAUGGAAAAACUGUGCAAAUCGUGGUUUGGCCACUUCACCUCCUGUAAGAACAAGAAACAUUGCCAUCUGCUGUGAGGAGACCAG